UACGAACUGUGCAAACGUUAUUCGGAUUCACUGGGCUUAAAGGGUGCGUAGGCGGCCAUGUAAGUAGGGUGUGAAAUCCCCCGGCUUAACUUGGGAACUGCAUCCGAUACUGGAUGGCUUGAAUCCGGGAGAGGGAUGCGGAAUUCCAGGUGUAGCGGUGAAAUGACGUAGAUAUCGGAAGGAACACCUGUGGCGAAAGCGGCUCACUGGACCAUUACUGACGCUGAGGCACGAAAGCUAGGGGAGCAAACAGG
rnacentral:rRNA from 1 species